ensembl:snoRNA Small nucleolar RNA SNORA5
CGCAGCCUCGUCAAAUUCAGUGCUUCCCCCUCAGUGGUUGGUACUGGCCAAACUGGCUGCCACAGUGAAGGUGUAGUUCAUGGGCCUCGGUGUGUUUCCACACAGCCACUGGGGAUAAAUAUGUACUGCAUACAAGC